rnacentral:rRNA from 1 species
GACGAACGCUGGCGGCGUGCUUAACACAUGCAAGUCGAACGGAAAGGCCCUGCUUUUGUGGGGUGCUCGAGUGGCGAACGGGUGCGUAACACGUGAGUAACCUGCCCUUGACUUUGGGAUAACUUCAGGAAACUGGGGCUAAUACCGGAUAGGAGCUCCUGCUGCAUGGUGGGGGUUGGAAAGUUUCGGCGGGUGGGGAUGGACUCGCGGCUUAUCAGCUUGUUGGUGGGGUAGUGGCUUACCAAGGCUUUGACGGGUAGCCGGCCUGAGAGGGUGACCGGCCACAUGGGGACUGAGAGACGGCGCAGACUCCUACGGGAGGCAGCAGUGGGGAAUAUUGCACAAUGGGCGGAAGCCUGAGGCAGCAACGCCGCGUGCGGGAUGACGGCCCGCGGGUUGUAAAACGCUUUCGCCUGUGACGAAGCGUGAGUGACGGUAAUGGGUAAAGAAGCACCGGCUAACUACGUG